rnacentral:rRNA from 1 species
AACGAACGCUGGCGGCAUGCCUAACACAUGCAAGUCGAACGAGACCUUCGGGUCUAUGGUCGCACGGGUUCGUAACGCGUGGGAACCUUCCCUUAUGUUCGGAAUAACUCCCCGAAAGGGGUGCUAAUACCGAAUAGUGUCUUCGAACCAAAGAUUUAUCGACUUUGGAUGGGCCCGCGUUGGAUUAGCUAGUUGGUAGGGUAAAAGCCUACCAAGGGGACGAUCCAUAGCUGGUAUGAGAGGAUGAUCAGCCACACUGGGACUGAGACACGGCCCAGACUCCUACGGGAAGCAGCAGUGGGGAAUAUUGGACAAUGGGCGAAAGCCUGAUCCAGCAAUGCCGCGUGAGUGAUGAAGGCCUUAGGGUUGUAAAGCUCUUUUACCCGGGAUGAUAAUGACAGUACCGGGAGAAUAAGCUCCGGCUAACUCCGUG